rnacentral:rRNA from 1 species
AGAUUGAACGCUGGCGGCAUGCCUUACACAUGCAAGUCGAACGGCAGCACGGGAGCAAUCCUGGUGGCGAGUGGCGAACGGGUGAGUAAUAUAUCGGAACGUGCCCAGUAAUGGGGGAUAGCCCGGCGAAAGCCGGAUUAAUACCGCAUACGACCCAAGGGUGAAAGCGGGGGAUCGCAAGGCCUCGCGUUAUUGGAGCGGCCGAUAUCAGAUUAGCUUGUUGGUGGGGUAAAAGCCUACCAAGGCAACGAUCUGUAGCUGGUCUGAGAGGACGACCAGCCACACUGGGACUGAGACACGGCCCAGACUCCUACGGGAGGCAGCAGUGGGGAAUUUGGACAAUGGGCGCAAGCCUGAUCCAGCCAUGCCGCGUGUGGGAAGAAGGCCUUCGGGUUGUAAACCACUUUGUCAGGAAGAACAGCCUAGCUAAUACGAGGACUAAUGACGGUACCUGAAGAAUAAGACACCGGACUAACUACGUAGACCAGACAGCCGACGGUAA